rnacentral:rRNA from 1 species
AGAGUUUGAUCAUGGCUCAGAACGAACGCUGGCGGCGCGCCUAAUACAUGCAAGUCGAGCGAGAAGGUGUAGCAAUACACUUGUAAAGCGGCGAACGGGUGAGGAAUACAUGGGUAAUCUACCAUCGAGUGGGGAAUAACCAACCGAAAGGUUGGCUAAUACCGCGUACGCCUCCGAGUCUUCGGGUUCGGAGGGAAAGCUGCACUGUGAGUGUAGCGCUCUUUGAUGAGCUCAUGUCCUAUCAGCUUGUUGGUAGGGUAACGGCCUACCAAGGCUUUGACGGGUAGCUGGUCUGAGAGGACGAUCAGCCACACUGGCACUGCGACACGGGCCAGACUCCUACGGGAGGCAGCAGUAAGGAAUAUUGCGCAAUGGGCGAAAGCCUGACGCAGCGACGCCGCGUGGGGGAUGAAGGUCUUCGGAUUGUAAACCCCUUUCGGGAGGGAAGAUGGAACGAGCAAUCGUUCGGACGGUACCUCCAGAAGCAGCCACGGCCAACUUCGUGCCAGCAGCCGCGGUAAUACGAAGGUGGCAAGCGUUGUUCGGAUUCACUGGGCGUACAGGGUGUGUAGGCGGUUUGGUAAGCCUUCUGUUAAAGCUUCGGGCCCAACCCGGAAAGCGCAGAGGGUACUGCCAGGCUAGAGGGUGGGAGAGGAGCGCGGAAUUCCCGGUGUAGCGGUGAAAUGCGUAGAGAUCGGGAGGAAGGCCGGUGGCGAAGGCGGCGCUCUGGAACAUACCUGACGCUGAGACACGAAAGCGUGGGGAGCAAACAGGAUUAGAUACCCUGGUAGUCCACGCCC